rnacentral:rRNA from 1 species
CCGCAUUGCAGGGUAGCUAUGUGUGGACUAGAUAACCGCUGAAAGCAUCUAAGCGGGAAACUAACCUCAAAACCAGGUAUCCCUGAGAGCCGUGCAAGACCAGCACGUCGAUAGGCCGGGUGUGGAAGCGCAGCGAUGCGUGGAGCUAACCGGUACUAAUUGCUCGAUAGGCUUGAUUGU